rnacentral:rRNA from 1 species
GGGAAGCUUGAAUUCGUUCAAGUGGAGAGUGGCGCACGGGUGAGUAACACGUAGCUAACCUGCCCUCGAGAGCGGGAUAACGCUUCGAAAGGAGUGCUAAGACCGCAUAAGCUCACAUUGAGUAAGUAGUUGUGAGAAAAGGCUGAGGUGCUUGAGGACGGGGCUGCGGUCCAUCAGCUAGUUGGUGGGGUAAGAGCCUACCAAGGCGACGACGGAUAGGGGGCCUGAGAGGGUGGUCCCCCACACUGGGACUGAGACACGGCCCAGACUCCUACGGGAGGCAGCAGUGAGGAAUAUUGCACAAUGGGCGCAAGCCUGAUGCAGCGACGCCGCGUGGGUGAAGAAGGUUUUCGGAUCGUAAAGCCCUUUUCUGUGUGACGAGAAAGGACGGUAGCACAGGAAUAAGUCUCGGCUAACUACGUGCCAGCAGCCGCGGUAAAACGUAGGAGGCAAGCGUUAUCCGGAGUUACUGGGCGUAAAGAGCGUGUAGGCGGGGAUGCAAGUCCGUUGUGAAAGCUCCCGGCUAAACUGGGAGAGGUCAGUGGAGACUGCAUACCUAGAGAGCAUUAGAGGGAAGCGGAAUUCCGGGUG